GGGGGGGGGAUUGCCCGGGUGGGGCUUGCACCGCGCUGCACGCAGGGAGGAGCCGGUGCGGGUGCAGCUUGCACGGGCGCGUGCGUGUGCAAGCAGGGUGUGGCGUGCACUGUGCGCGUGCAAACGGGGUGUGGCGUGCACCUUGCAUGUGCAAGGGGGGUGCAGUUUGCACUUUGCAAGCAGGGUGCACCUUGCACGGUGCAUGUACAAAGGGGGUGCACCUUGCACGCUGCACGUACAAGUGGGGUGCAGCUUGCACUGUGCAUGCACAAAGGGGGUGCACCUUGCACUUUGCACGUGCACAUGGGAUGCACCUUGCACUGUGCAUGCACAAAGGGGGUGCACCUUGCACGCUGCAUGUGCAAGCAGGGUGCAGCUUGCAAUUUGCACACACAAAGCAGGGUGCAGGCUCGCACCACGCGCAGGCAGGCUGCAGUUUGCACUUUGCACGUGCACCUCCAGGAUUUGUGGGGUGCGCCUUGGGGACCUAUAGGGCCGCGUGUAAGGGCACCUAUAGGUUGGGGAGAGCCUGCGUGUGCCAUAGGGGAUGCUGCGUGUGGCUGCAGCCCUUGGAGAGCCCCGGGGCGUGCUCUAUAGGGGCUCGGCGCGUGCGUGCCCCGGGGCGGCGCUCUACAGGGGAUGCUGCACUUGUGUGUGCGCACGCGCAUGGCCGGGUGUGCUCCAUAGGGGAUGAUCUGUUUUGUCUGCGGGCACGUGCGGCGCGGCGUGCCCUAUAGGGGACGCAGGGCACGUGGGGCGUGCUGUGCUGUAGGGUAUAUAACCUAUAGGGGAUGCGGGGCGAGUAGGGUGUCAUUUGUAGUUGAGGGGCUUUAUAUAGGGGAUGCAAAGGCUUGUGGGGCGCGCUCUCUAGGGGAUGCAGGGCACGUGGGGUGUGCUCUAUAAGGGGUGUGUUCUAUAGGGGGUGUGCUCUGUAUAUGAGAUAUAGGGCAUGUGGGUCAUACUCUGUAGAGGAGUACUCUAUAGGGGGCAUACUCUGUAUAGGGCAUGCAGGGCAUGUGGGGUGUGCUCUAUAGGGGGUGUGCUCUAUAAGGGAUGCAGGGUAUGUGGGGUUGCUGUAGAGGGGAUGUAAUAUAUAGGGGUUGUAGAGCACCAGGGGCAUAAUUUAUAGGGGAUGCAGGGCAUGCAAGGCGUAAUUGAUAGGGUGGCACUGUAUAUAGGGCAUGUGGGGCAUAAUUUAUAGGGGGUGAAGGGUGGGUGGAACAUACCCUAUAUAGGGCACGUACCCUAUAUAGGAAAUGUUACCCUAUAGGGGGUGUACCCCGCAUAGGGGUCUCAAGGCAGGGGGGGGAGUGCUCUCCAGGGGCUGCGGAGUGUGUGGGGCAGGCUC
rnacentral:lncRNA from 1 species